rnacentral:rRNA from 1 species
CCUACGGGAGGCAGCAGUGAGGAAUAUUGGUCAAUGGGCGAGAGCCUGAACCAGCCAAGUAGCGUGGAGGAUGACGGCCCUACGGGUUGUAAACUCCUUUUAUCAGGGGAUAAAGUCCACUACGUGUAGUGGUUUGCAGGUACCUGGUGAAUAAGGACCGGCUAAUUCCGUGCCAGCAGCCGCGGUAAU